AUGCAGAAGUUCACCGUAAGGAAGAAGAGCUGGCUGGUGAGGAUGAGGAGAAGGCAAGAUGCGAGGUGCUUGCACGCGCAGCAGCAGGAGGCCGUCCAUGAGGUGCUCCUCUGGAUUCUCCCUUCCGGCGUUGGGCCUAGGUGUUCAACGCUGCCCUCACCAUCCCCUUCUUCCAUUGGCUCAUCGGCCUAUAUAUACAAGGUUUAUCAUCACCCCAUGGAUCAUGUGUUUUUGAAUAACCAGGUUAUUGAGGUGGAGGUCAAUGGUGUGAGGCGGAGAAGUGGAGUGCUUAUAAAGAAACACAGCUGCUGCCUGGAUUCGCCGCUGCCGCCUCCAGUCGCUUCCUCCUGGGCAUCCCGUCUCUAG
rnacentral:rRNA from 1 species